ACCUGAAUCAUCCUAAAAUACAAAUUUAGUGCAUCAAAUCGUUUAGAGUUGCCUCUGAAGUUUUAGCAUUGAAGAGGGAAUUUGCUCCUUUCUGAGAUUUCAGCUUUUUCAUUAGAUAACAUCUGUAUACUUUUAUAUUUGGCCUAAUGUGAAGAGUAGUAGUCCGGGAGCAAAAAAGUGCCCAUAUUUAUAUGAUCUUGGAUUUCUUGACUUUUCCAAAUAGCAAAGAUUAAUUUCCGAAGGAUAAUGCUGAGACAGUUUUCAGUAAGAAGUCCCCAUCUUUCAUUCUUUCUCACUGUAAAUCUUGUAGGU
rnacentral:misc_RNA from 1 species